rnacentral:rRNA from 1 species
UACGGAGGGAGCUAGCGUUGUUCGGAAAUACUGGGCGUAAAGCGCACGUAGGCGGCGCAGCAAGUCAGGGGUGAAAUCCCGAGGCUCAACCCCGGAACUGCCCUUGAAACUGCAGUGCUAGAAUCCUGGAGAGGCGAGUGGAAUUCCGAGUGUAGAGGUGGAAUGCGUAGAGAUCGGGAAGAACACCCGUGGCGAAGGCGGUGUGCUGGGUUGCAACUGACGCUGAGAUGCGAAAGUGUGGGGAGCAAACGGG